rnacentral:rRNA from 1 species
GAUGAACGCUGGCGGCGUGCCUAAUACAUGCAAGUCGAGCGAACAGACGAGGAGCUUGCUCCUCUGACGUUAGCGGCGGACGGGUGAGUAACACGUGGAUAACCUACCUAUAAGACUGGGAUAACUUCGGGAAACCGGAGCUAAUACCGGAUAAUAUAUUGAACCGCAUGGUUCAAUAGUGAAAGACGGUUUUGCUGUCACUUAUAGAUGGAUCCGCGCCGCAUUAGCUAGUUGGUAAGGUAACGGCUUACCAAGGCAACGAUGCGGAGCCGACCUGAGAGGGUGGUCCGGCCCACUGGGACUUGGACCCCGGCCCCACCCCCUCGGGGGGGCCGAGGAGGGAAAUCUUCCGCAAGGGGGGAAGGCCUAAGGGGGCAAGCCCGGUGGGGUGAUAAAGGCCUUGGGUUCGUAAAACUUUUUUUUUGGGAAAAAACAAAUGUGUAAGUAACGUUGCCCUUUUUGCCGGUCCCAAACCAAAAAGCCCCGCCAAACUCCGU